UGAUUUAAAAAUUAAGCGGGAGUAUAGAAAAGACUUUCAAGCGAAACAGAGGUGUGCCUGGGAAAAAUAAAUUAACAAAACAACGCCAUUGGAUUAAUUAAAAUAUUUAUAAAAUAAAUAAUUAUUAAAAAAAGGAUUUUUCAAUUAAAUAUUUUUUUAUAUAAAAAAAAGAAGUAAAACAAGAAUUAAUUAAGACAAUAUGAUGAAAUUUGUAUUUGUUUUGUGUGUAGCUGUGGCUUUGAUGCAACAAACCCAGGCUUUUAAAGUGGUCACUAUACAUAAAGGUGCCCCACCAGCUGCUGCUGCCUCUGCUCCUGCUGCACCCGCUUUUGAUCCUUCUGCUUUAUUACAAGGUGUACAAUCUGCCAUUGCUGGCAAAUUACAACAAGUUCAAGCUUUGGUCGGUUCUUUGGUCCAACAAAAAACAGCUCUUAAACAAAAUGCUUUGAAUUCCUUGCAAAGCACUUUAGGUGGUGUUAAGAGUCAAGUUGGCAGCCUAGCUGGCAGUGUACAACCACCUUUUGUUAUUCGCAAACAAAUUUAUGUUGGUGCUCCUCCCAAGCCAGCACCUGCACCAGCUCCCGAGUCCACUACUACAGCUGAUGUUGAUGCUACAACAACAUCGGGUUAAUUUCAUAAUAAAUACGAUUAAGCAGGCCAAAGUUACAGAAUAUUUAAUAGAAAAAAAAUAAAAACGAAUAUUAGGUACCCGUAGUUCUUAAGUUGUGCUCACAAAAUAAUUAUAAACGAUAUUUGUAUAGAAAUUUGGGGUAAUCACACCCUAGCCCCCUGUACAAACUCCCCUUCAGAAAACGAUUUGAAGGUCAAAAUUCACUUUGAAGUAGACGUAAAUUCAUCUACCAACAUUUAUAGAGUAAGGCCUUUAUUUACCCCUACUCCAAUAUGAGCUCUCUUGUAGAAAAUCUCUUAUUUCGUCUAGUAAAAUAUUCCGGAAUAAAGUGA